UACAGAGGUCUCAAGCGUUGUUCGGAUUCAUUGGGCGUAAAGGGUGCGUAGGCGGCGCGGUAAGUCGGGUGUGAAAUUUCGAGGCUUAACUUCGAAACUGCAUUCGAUACUGCCGUGCUUGAGGACUGGAGAGGAGACUGGAAUUUACGGUGUAGCGGUGAAAUGCGUAGAUAUCGUAAGGAAGACCAGUGGCGAAGGCGGGUCUCUGGACAGUUCCUGACGCUGAGGCACGAAGGCCAGGGGAGCGAACAGG
rnacentral:rRNA from 1 species